rnacentral:lncRNA from 1 species
AAUCUGUAGACCAUGAUCCACUGUCCUGGCAGGCUUGUUAUCCAGACUCUAAACUCCCCAUGUCAGAAACCUGCCUGGUUACAGUUGGUGAGAUACUUCAGCUUUUUUAGCUUAUAUGAAACAAAUGGAAGAUGAGACUUCUUCUCCUGCUCUUUUGGACUCUUUGUGUUCAUGUAAGUGACAAAGAGAUUAUUGGCCGUUUCUGGAC